rnacentral:rRNA from 1 species
GCACAAGCGGUGGAUGAUGUGGUUAAUUCGAUGCAACGCGAAAACCUUACCUACCCUUGACAUGUCCGGAAUCCCGAAGAGAUUUGGGAGUGCUCGCAAGAGAACCGGAACACAGGUGCUGCAUGGCUGUCGUCAGCUCGUGUCGUGAGAUGUUGGGUUAAGUCCCGCAACGAGCGCAACCCUUGUCAUUAGUUGCCAUCAUUUGGUUGGGCACUCUAAUGAGACUGCCGGUGACAAACCGGAGGAAGGUGGGGAUGACGUCAAGUCCUCAUGGCCCUUAUGGGUAGGGCUUCACACGUCAUACAAUGGUCGGUACAGAGGGUUGCCAACCCGCGAGGGGGAGCUAAUCCCACAAAGCCGAUCGUAGUCCGGAUCGCAGUCUGCAACUCGACUGCGUGAAGUCGGAAUCGCUAGUAAUCGUGGAUCAGCAUGUCACGGUGAAUACGUUCCCGGGUCUU